rnacentral:rRNA from 1 species
CUACCAUGCAGUCGAGCGGAUGAGUGGAGCUUGCUCCAUGAUUCAGCGGCGGACGGGUGAGUAAUGCCUAGGAAUCUGCCUGGUAGUGGGGGACAACGUUUCGAAAGGAACGCUAAUACCGCAUACGUCCUACGGGAGAAAGUGGGGGAUCUUCGGACCUCACGCUAUCAGAUGAGCCUAGGUCGGAUUAGCUAGUUGGUGAGGUAAAGGCUCACCAAGGCGACGAUCCGUAACUGGUCUGAGAGGAUGAUCAGUCACACUGGAACUGAGACACGGUCCAGACUCCUACGGGAGGCAGCAGUGGGGAAUAUUGGACAAUGGGCGAAAGCCUGAUCCAGCCAUGCCGCGUGUGUGAAGAAGGUCUUCGGAUUGUAAAGCACUUUAAGUUGGGAGGAAGGGCAGUAAGUUAAUACCUUGCUGUUUUGACGUUACCAACAGAAUAAGCACCGGCUAACUUCGUGCCAGCAGCCGGGGGUAAUACAAU